AGGGAUAUAGCUCAGCAGCAGAGCAUAUCCUUAGCACGCACAGGGUCCUGGGUUCAACCCCCAGCACCUCUA
rnacentral:tRNA from 1 species